CUUAAAAAAAAUCAAAGAAAAUUUUUUAUUCACUUUUGUUUCAAAAAGUCCCUCUCGUCACAAUUUUUCAGAUAGAUAUGCGUAAAUCCCCCAGUUUUAAACCGUGGCAUAUAAAUCACGUCCGAAUUUGUUGUUUCUCAGACUAAGUUUGCAUCCAGCUUGACUGUUGUCUACAAGAUGAAGGCCCUAGUAAAAAUUCUGUCUGUAAUACUUCUUGUGAACAUCAUUUUGGGUGUUGUAAAUGCUAUUCCGGUCGAUGAAAACUACGAAACGGAAGCUUUGAUACGAAGACUGAGACCCAAAAGAGGAGAAAAAACUUGUCACAUUCUUAACAGAUCGGGAAAGCCAAUCACAGAAUCUCAGUGCGAUUUAGUUUGCUGGGAACAGAGUUACGAAGUUGGAAGAUGUAAGGGUAAUGCUUGUUAUUGCAGCCCCACAUAAUGUAUUAGAGUUAGUCUUAGAAAUAAAUUGUAAAUUAAGUUGAAGGAGUUUAAUAAACAAUAAUUAUAUAAA